rnacentral:rRNA from 1 species
GAGGGGCAGCACAGGUAGCAAUACCGGGUGGCGACCGGCGCACGGGUGAGUAACGCGUAUGCAACUUACCUAUCAGAGGGGGAUAACCCGGCGAAAGUCGGACUAAUACCGCAUGAAGCAGGGGCCCCGCAUGGGGAUAUUUGCUAAAGAUUCAUCGCUGAUAGAUAGGCAUGCGUUCCAUUAGGCAGUUGGCGGGGUAACGGCCCACCAAACCGACGAUGGAUAGGGGUUCUGAGAGGAAGGUCCCCCACAUUGGUACUGAGACACGGACCAAACUCCUACGGGAGGCAGCAGUGAGGAAUAUUGGUCAAUGGCCGAGAGGCUGAACCAGCCAAGUCGCGUGAGGGAUGAAGGUUCUAUGGAUCGUAAACCUCUUUUAUAAGGGAAUAAAGUGCGGGACGUGUCCCGUUUUGUAUGUACCUUAUGAAUAAGGAUCGGCUAACUCCGUGCCAGCAGCCGCGGUAAUACGGAGGAUCCGAGCGUUAUCCGGAUUUAUUGGGUUUAAAGGGUGCGUAGGCGGCCUUUUAAGUCAGCGGUGAAAGUCUGUGGCUCAACCAUAGAAUUGGCGUUGAAACUGGGGGGCUUGAGUAUGUUUGAGGCAGGCGGAAUGCGUGGUGUAGCGGUGAAAUGCAUAGAUAUCACGCAGAACCCCGAUUGCGAAGGCAGCCUGCCAAGCCAUGACUGACGCUGAUGCACGAAAGCGUGGGGAUCAAACAGGAUUAGAUACCCUGGUAGUCCACGCAGUAAACGAUGAUCACUAGCUGUUUGCGAUACACUGUAAGCGGCACAGCGAAAGCGUUAAGUGAUCCACCUGGGGAGUACGCCGGCAACGGUGAAACUCAAAGGAAUUGACGGGGGCCCGCACAAGCGGAGGAACAUGUGGUUUAAUUCGAUGAUACGCGAGGAACCUUACCCGGGUUUGAACGCAUUCGGACCGAGGUGGAAACACCUUUUCUAGCAAUAGCCGUUUGCGAGGUGCUGCAUGGUUGUCGUCAGCUCGUGCCGUGAGGUGUCGGCUUAAGUGCCAUAACGAGCGCAACCCUUGCCACUAGUUACUAACAGGUGAUGCUGAGGACUCUGGUGGGACUGCCAGCGUAAGCUGCGAGGAAGGCGGGGAUGACGUCAAAUCAGCACGGCCCUUACAUCCGGGGCGACACACGUGUUACAAUGGCGUGGACAAAGGGAGGCCACCUGGCGACAGGGAGCGAAUCCCCAAACCACGUCUCAGUUCGGAUCGGAGUCUGCAACCCGACUCCGUGAAGCUGGAUUCGCUAGUAAUCGCGCAUCAGCCAUGGCGCGGUGAAUACGUUCCCGG